rnacentral:rRNA from 1 species
CGUAGGCAGCGAGCGUUGUUCGGAGUUACUGGGCGUAAAGAGUGCGUAGGCGGUUUUCUAAGUUUGGUGUGAAAUCUCCCGGCUUAACUGGGAGGGUGCGCCGAAGACUGGAAGGCUUGAGUAUGGGAGAGGUAAGCGGAAUUCCUGGUGUAGCGGUGAAAUGCGUAGAUAUCAGGAGGAACACCUGCGGUGUAGACGGCUUACUGGACCAUAACUGACGCUGAGGCACGAAAGCGUGGGUAGCAAACAGGAUUAGAUACCCUGGUAGUCCACGCCCUAAACGAUGCAUACUUGGUGUGGGUAGUUCAUUCUAUCCGUGCCGGAGCUAACGCGUUAAGUACGCCGCCUGGGGAGUACGGUCGCAAGGCUG